AACAAAAGUGGCUCCAAAUAGGGUGAUAUACCUAGGGUAGGAGUUUGGAGCCGAGAUGUUGAGAUUUUCCGGCGAAGCGUUAUCGCUUUGGGCACCCACGCGCUGCCGGCGCGUGCGGCGGCGCGUGGGCACUGUAGAAAAUUAGCACUGUGUUCCGAUGAGAUCCUUAGGUUGUCACGAGUGCGUAGGAUUUUACGGAUCUCAAUUCGGACAUCGUUUGACUAUCGAACGGAUAAUCGCAUAGUAUGCGUUAUCCGGGUCCGAUAGGUUGGGACCGUCGGAUGGUCCCAAAUUUAAUAUAUGUUAAUCUAGGUAUUUCUAGGAUCGUGUAGGAAUUCACGGAUCCGCAGGUCCGUUUGACCAGGGUUAGAGUAGUUUGACCCUUGGUUGACUGUGAGCCACCCGGAGUAAUCUCACCUCUCCAGGGGAGAUUAUCGGGUGCUAGAUGAUUGUGGAGGGUGACACAAUAUUAGGAUUAAUUUAUAUAAAUAUAAUUAUAUGUGGUUGUACAAGGGUACAACAGAGUCUAGAAUGUCAGUUUGGAGUGCUAUACGCACUACCGUAGGUACCUCCUCGGACGUUGGAUUCACUACAAGUACCACCAAGAGAAAGUGAGGUCGCACGUGGCGUAGGUUAUCCGGCGUGUCGACAGACCCCAUACGUGGCGUUGGUUGUACCGGCGUAUGCGGAGCUAUGUAAUAUGAUGUUCAGGUCUCACGUGGCGUAGGUUAUUCGGCGUUGAGACAGACCCCAUAUGUGGCGUUGGUUGUACCGGCGUAUGGGGAGCUAUGUAAUAAUGUGUUGAGGUCGCACGUGGCGUAGGUUAUCCGGCGUGUCGACAGACCCCAUACGUGGCGUUGGUUGUACCGGCGUAUGGGGAGAUUUGUGAUAUGAUAUUGAGGUCCCGCGUGGCGUAGGUUAUCCGGCGUUGGGACAGGCCCCAUACGUGGCGUUGGUUGUACCGGCGUAUGGGGAGAUUAUAUGAAAUACAAAGAAAUGAAAUAAGGUAUCGCUCAAGUAGGGAAUUGAGUUUUAGGGAAGAACUACGUGUGGCUUGAUCCCUCAAGGAGGGUACGUAGGCAGCCUGAGGUUAUUAGGUGCAGCCGCAGACUAAAUAUUAGUCAUAAAUUGUAAUUGAAUUGUUUGGUAGUUGUUUGAGAAUUUUGGAAGGCCGAAGGCCAUUUAUGAGAAUUUGCAUGAGAUUAUAUUGUGCAUGCUGCCCGUUGGUGAUAUUAAAUGCGUUUUCAUGCAGGUAUAAAUUUUGGGAAACGUCCAAUUUACAGGGGAGACUCUGCCGAAAUUUUGGCAGGAUUUCGGCAGGAAGUCUCGGUUUCAGUGAGUGGGCCUGACAUCGGGGUGAUGUCAGGAAUCCCCAAAGGGUUCGUCUCGAAUUUUGAGAAAAUUCGGGGCGGGUCCUUAACGUUGGUAUCAGAGCUCUAGGUUCAAUUCCCUGUGGACCCUACACUUUAUGUGCAUCCUUAAAUUGUGGGGAUCAAAAUGGGUACCAUCUCGGAAUGGCACAUUUGCGACGUUGAGGACGUCACAAAAGUCAAAUUAUUUCACAAAGGAAAGGUACAUAGGCCACCGGAGCAUAAGUAGAGCUGGAGCUUUACCACAGACAGUGGUUGUUUCAGAAGUUCCGGAAGAUGGCGAGUAGAAGCCGAAAGUUUGCAUAGGGUAACACCUGUACGUAUGGUACAGUUGGAUGUCCCUAUGAUAAAGUUGUCCGUUGGGUUCGCAUAAGCGGGAGGUAGGGAGUGGAUCCACCUACUUCUAGGGAUCCUCCAUUGCCUGAACAUGUUGCUAAUUUUCGAUUGUGUGCCUAGAGCACCGAGUCGAAGAUCCUAAGAGCAUAACCUCUCUCUGGGACGAGCAACUCCCCGACAUUGGAUCAAGGGAUCCAGGGUCUGAAGGGUGGUGUUGGUAUAAUCGAAAUCACAAGUGUCUCUUACAGAAAGAGGCUCGUGUGUGGUGAGAAUACUAUGGUCAAGUCUAAGGACGAGACCCAGAUGGAUGGAGAGAGUCCUUUGGGGUCUCAUCUCACGUGAGCACGUUUGAGUAGAGAUCUUUCAUCGGAAUCAGAAAUGGAUCAUGGUCGAGAGAGAUCGAUGAUGAUUACAAUUCGGUAAAAAUGAUCAUUUCUGACUUUUCUCUCAACGAAUCGUGUUAGCAAAGUAAAGGGAGAAGUAGUGGAGUUGGGUGUAACCGUACUUCAUUUGCGUGGGCUUGAAUGCCGCGAUUGACAGGAGUGGAACAUUAGGGUUCUUCUUCUUCCUUGCUCUCUCACGUGAGCUCGCCAUAGUUAGAGAAGGAGACUUUUCUUUCUCUGCUUGCUUAGCUAGAGCUUUUGGCUUGGUUGCCAACACGGUUGUGGAGAAAGAACUUGGGAACCCGAGUGGUAGAUGCGGGCCCCAUGCUCACAACCCUUCGAAUGACAAGGUAGGAAAUUUCGGGGACGAAAUUUUUAUAAGGGGGGUAGUCUGUAACACCCCGACCCCAAAUUUCCCCAAAUUUUACCCUCAUUUAAUUAUUUAAUUAUUUAAGGAUAUUUUAGUCAUAUUUUUAACCGGAGAGAGUUUGGGACCGCGACUUACAUUUUUGGAUAGGUCGUACUGAGAAGAGUUCAUAGACACGUAGUGGGCUCGAAUCGGAGUUGUAACGAGAGAGAUAUGGUCAAAAGAAACCCAGUGGCACAAUCGUAAAUAUUUCGAAAUGGGAUUUUUUAUAAAAAAAACCUGGUUUCUCUCUCUCUCUCUCUCUCUCUCUCUCUCUCUCUCUCUCUCUCUCUCUCUCUCCCGCGAGCAGCCCCUCCCCUCCCGUUUUUUUCUGCACAGCUGGUGGCUCCAAGAGCCACCACAGCCGCCACCAGCCACCGAUUGGGGUGGUACCGGUCCCAAAAGAACCGCCAGCUCCUCCUCCUUCCAUCCCGCUCCAUCCCCGACCUCGGCAGCCGCUGGUGUCGCCGGAAUCUGCCGGAAAACGAGCUGGUUUUCACAGAUUUUCAAACCGCUCGUUCUCCCUCAUUUCUUCUCCAAAUUUGACGAGUAAGGUAUGGAUUUCUACCUAUUUUUCAUGCUCUAGCUGAUGGUUGGAUAGGAUUUCGUUAAUUUUGAGCCUAGGAUAGCUGAUCUUCAAUUUGAAAUUCUGCCGAUUUUGAGAGUUUGUUUUCGGCCACUUCCAGUCACUUUUUGGGGUAGGUCCAAGAACAAAAGUGGCUCCAAAUAGGGUGAUAUACCUAGGGUAGGAGUUUGGAGCCGAGAUGUUGAGAUUUUCCGGCGAAGCGUUAUCGCUUUGGGCACCCACGCGCUGCCGGCGCGUGCGGCGGCGCGUGGGCACUGUAGAAAAUUAGCACUGUGUUCCGAUGAGAUCCUUAGGUUGUCACGAGUGCGUAGGAUUUUGCGGAUCUCAAUUCGGACAUCGUUUGACUAUCGAACGGAUAAUUGCAUAGUAUGCGUUAUCCGGGUCCGAUAGGUUGGGACCGUCGGAUGGUCCCAAAUUUAAUAUAUGUUAAUCUAGGUAUUUCUUGGAUCGUGUAGGAAUUCACGGAUCGUGAAUCGGAGCCCCGGAUGUUCCGAAUAAUAAUUUAAAGUUUAUAUUUUAUAUUAACC
rnacentral:lncRNA from 1 species